UGAUGUAGUUAGUGGUUGGUGUACUGGUGCGUACACUCAGAUCUGCAAGACCCUUAAAGACUGUUAGUUUUAUUUACUGGUGGAGACUCAAUUGCGUGCACCAGAAACAGCAAAAAGUCUCCAUAGAGGAUCCUGUUGGGGAAGCCCUUUCUGCAGAUCCUGAUGCCUUCCAGCACACCGUUACAGCGUAGCUGGUGCAUCACCAGAGGGUUCUCCAUGGCCCCAGGAGUCUUGGUCUCAUUGGGGAUGAUGCAGCGCACAAAGUGAGGGCUGUGAAGCUCUGUGUGGACUCAAACCCUGAUUUCUGCUUGUCUUAUAAAGAGCCAGGACAUCAUGAAAUUACUGAAAGGUCUCUUCUGGUGUGCACUUGCAUACCAUAACUCAGGCCAAGCCUGUAUUUGUUCUGUGGUCCAAAAAGCCCUCCCUUGUCUGGCUGUGAAGAUGCUUGCUACUGGAGAAAGACUGGCUACAACUGAUGUGAAGUCUCCAUAGAGGAUCCUGUUGGGGAAGCCCUUUCUGCAGAUCCUGAUGCCUUCCAGCACACCGUUACAGCGUAGCUGGUGCAUCACCAGAGGGUUCUCCAUGGCCCCAGGAGUCUUGGUCUCAUUGGGGAUGAUGCAGCGCACAAAGUGAGGACAUUGAAAAACUUUAGAAGGACGAAGUCAUGUGAGAUGAAGGUCAGCACUUGGUGCCAGCUGACAUCCACCCUCCACCUCACUCCUUCAAACAGUGCAGGAGCUUGUGCCUCAUUCCUUCCUUGGUGCUGCUGCAGAUGCAUGAAAUACGAAUUACUUUGCAGACAAAGAGGACUACAGCACAGGGGAUCCCAAAGGUCUUAGAUGGCCGUCACUCAGUUUCACUCCUCAUCUAGCCCUUUCUGUGAUGAAGAAUGAUAAAAGAGUAGACAGUGAGAGAUGGAUUAGUGACAGAGGACUCAACAAGACUCAACAAAUGUUACAUAGAAUAAUCCAAAAGGCAUAAGUUAUGUUCUGACUGUGAGGCAAAUAUUAAUUGCAUUGCAGUCAUGACUUUCUCUACUGCUGCUUUGGUAUGUGGGUUAAUGACACAAUGUUUUAAAACUGGAAAAAAAAUAUGGAAAUUAGUUUAGCUAGAUUAUUUAAAACCAUGUAGUUAAAGAGGCAAGUUCAUUGUCACAUUAGUUUUUGACACUGAAAUUAAUUUUCUUGAGCCUUCUCAUUACAUCACUCUUAUCUAUAUUAUCAAAAAUAUGGGUAAGUAUAGCUUAACUUGGCAUG